rnacentral:rRNA from 1 species
AACUGCUUUUGUAUGGGGAUAAAGUCAAUCACGUGUGAUUGUUUGCAGGUACCAUACGAAUAAGGACCGGCUAAUUCCGUGCCAGCAGCCGCGGUAAUACGGAAGGUUCGGGCGUUAUCCGGAUUUAUUGGGUUUAAAGGGAGCGUAGGCCGGAGAUUAAGUGUGUUGUGAAAUGUAGACGCUCAACGUCUGACUUGCAGCGCAUACUGGUUUCCUUGAGUACGCACAACGUUGGCGGAAUUCGUCGUGUAGCGGUGAAAUGCUUAGAUAUGACGAAGAACUCCGAUUGCGAAGGCAGCUGACGGGAGCGCAACUGACGCUGAAGCUCGAAGGUGCGGGUAUCGAACAGGAUUAGAUACCCUGGUAGUCC